rnacentral:rRNA from 1 species
UACGUAGGGUGCGAGCGUUGUCCGGAAUUAUUGGGCGUAAAGAGCGUGUAGGCGGCCAGGUAGGUCUGCUGUGAAAACUCGAGGCUCAACCUCGAGACGUCGGCGGAAACCAUCUGGCUAGAGUCCGGAAGAGGAGAGUGGAAUUCCUGGUGUAGCGGUGAAAUGCGCAGAUAUCAGGAGGAACACCAAUUGCGAAGGCAGCUCGCUGGGACGUUACUGACGCUGAGACGCGAAAGCGUGGGGAGCGAACGGG